rnacentral:rRNA from 1 species
GACGAACGCUGGCGGCGUGCUUAACACAUGCAAGUCGAACGGAAAGGCCCUGCUUGCCGGGUGCUCGAGUGGCGAACGGGUGAGUAACACGUGGGUGAUCUGCCCCUUACUUCGGGAUAAGCCUGGGAAACUGGGUCUAAUACUGGAUAGGACCAUGCUGUAGGUGGUGUGGUGGAAAGAUUAGUUUCGGUAAGGGAUGAGCUCGCGGCCUAUCAGCUUGUUGGUGGGGUAAUGGCCUACCAAGGCGUCGACGGGUAGCCGGCCUGAGAGGGUGGACGGCCACAUUGGGACUGAGAUACGGCCCAGACUCCUACGGGAGGCAGCAGUGGGGAAUAUUGCACAAUGGGCGCAAGCCUGAUGCAGCGACGCCGCGUGGGGGAUGACGGCCUUCGGGUUGUAAACUCCUUUCAGCCAUGACGAAGCCCUUGUGGUGACGGUAGUGGUAGAAGAAGCACCGGCUAACUACGUG